rnacentral:sRNA from 1 species
UUGCUGUGGGAUGACUGUUGAUGAAUUG